rnacentral:rRNA from 1 species
CGACGCCGCGUGAAGGAUGAAGGAUUUCGGUCUGUAAACUUCUUUAGUGGGGGACGAAGAACGUGACGGUACCCCAAAAAUAAGCCCCCGGCUAACUACGUGC